GGGACCAGUUGUUCAGUUCUGUUAGCAUUUGACCUUAAUGUCCGCCAAGUAUUACUUACAAUAGAUUGCCAGCCUUAAGAAGCAAAAGACGAUUUGAAAACGGACAAGUUAUUUAUGCAACACUUUGCAGUGACAUUUAACAGUUUUUACAGGCAUAUCAUGGCUCAUUCCACUGGAAACGACCCCAACAUUUGGUAAAAGGAGAAGGUAAAAUACAGCGAGGGUGACCAGCAGCAAGGUGGAUGAACUCAAUCAUGACGACAAUGAGCAUGUCAUCCCAACGCCUGAAGGCCCAUGCAGAAGACAAGAUGGUCUGGGGAAACGUUAUCUACAUGGGAACCAGGAGGCAGAGGAAAGAGGAAGUUGACAAGCAAAGUGAAGACAUGUGACUGACUAACGACGCUGCAGUUCCACCGGCUGCAAAGAGC